rnacentral:rRNA from 1 species
CACGUAGGGGACGAGCGUUGUCCGGAUUCAUUGGGCGUAAAGCGCGCGUAGGCGGCUCGGAAAGUCGGGCGUGAAAUGCCGGGGCUCAACCCCGGGACUGCGUCCGAUACUUCCGAGCUGGAGGUAGGCAGGGGAGAUCGGAAUUCCUGGUGUAGCGGUGAAAUGCGUAGAUAUCUGGAGGAACACCGGUGGCGAAGGCGGCAUCCUGGACCGGCAUUGACGCUGAGGAGCGAAAGCCAGGGGAGCAAACGGG